GAUGAACGCUAGCGGCAGGCUUAAUACAUGCAAGUCGAGGGGCAGCAGGUCUGUAGCAAUACAGAUGCUGGCGACCGGCAAACGGGUGCGGAACACGUACACAACCUUCCUUUAAGCGGGGAAUAGCCCGGGGAAACCCGGAUUAAUACCCCAUAGUAUAUUGAAGAGGCAUCUCUUUAUUAUUAAAGAUUUAUUACUUGAAGAUGGGUGUGCGGCUGAUUAGGUAGUUGGCGGGGAACGGCCCACCAAGCCUACGAUCAGUAACUGGUGUGAGAGCACGACCAGUCACACGGGCACUGAGACACGGGCCCGACUCC
rnacentral:rRNA from 1 species